rnacentral:ncRNA from 2 species
AAAAUUCACCAGGGGUGCUUUGGUUAACAAAGCUGAGAAAAACCCUUAGAACCUGCACUGGGUAAUGCCUGCGGAGGGAGAGUGAAAGUGCCAUGUU